rnacentral:rRNA from 1 species
AUGUAUGAGGAUUACCACGAGUUUGACCAGGAGCAGUAUCGCACUAUGGUCGACAUUUAUGAUUGGCGGGAUCGCUCCAUCACUGAGUUGCACACCUCUGAGGGUGUUGGAGUGUCUGUUGAGAUGGCAGUUCAUGAUGCUGCCUUUGUGGCUAUCACCCGUCUUCAUGGAGAAUACCCUUUCUUGGAGGAGACUGGGUUUAGAUACAUUCUGUAUGUCCCAGAAGGGGAUGUGACUAGAUUCUACCCUGUUAUCCGCACCCCCUAUGUGAGUCAUCGUUGUGACCCACAGGUGAUGAUUCGGUACAAUGAGGCUCUGGAUCGCACCGUUCGAGCUUAUGAUUUUGAGAUGUACGAGACUCAUACUCGUCUCUACGACGCUCUGACACUGUUGCUGCCAGUAGUCAGGGCGAGGACACAUCCAAAGUUCAUCACUUACCCGCGCAGGACAGUGCUGCCGACAGGGCUUGAUUGGUCUACUCUUGGAGGUAGUACCCCGGUACGUGGACCUCUUCUUCUGCCCCAGGACCAGCUCCUGCACCAGAGUCUCCACGGAGCGCAGGCCCCUCAUAUCGAGCGCCAUAUGCAGCUUCGUCACCUUCAUCUACCGGGCUUCAGAGGUUUCCCCUGA